UACGUAGGGUGCGAGCGUUAAUCGGAAUUACUGGGCGUAAAGCGUGCGCAGGCGGUUCGUUGUGUCGGUGGUGAAAGCCCCGGGCUUAACCUGGGAAUGGCCAUGGAAACUGGCGAACUGGAGUGUGGCAGAGGGGGUGGAAUUCCGCGUGUAGCAGUGAAAUGCGUAGAGAUGCGGAGGAACACCGAUGGCGAAGGCAGCCCCUGGGCUGACACUGACGCUCAGGCGCGAAAGCGUGGGGAGCAAACAGG
rnacentral:rRNA from 1 species